rnacentral:rRNA from 1 species
UACGUAGGGUCCGAGCGUUGUCCGGAAUUAUUGGGCGUAAAGGGCUCGUAGGCGGUCCGUCGCGUCGGGAGUGAAAACUCGGAGCUUAACUCCGAGCCUGCUUCCGAUACGGGCAGACUGGAGGUAUGCAGGGGAGAACGGAAUUCCUGGUGUAGCGGUGAAAUGCGCAGAUAUCAGGAGGAACACCAAUGGCGAAGGCAGCUCGCUGGGACGGUACUGACGCUGAGGCGCGAAAGCGUGGGGAGCAAACAGG